CAUCACAAUCAAGUGUGUAUUAAGAUCCUGGUUUUCUACUGGGGUGUAUGUACUGUAAUUAAUCACAGUCCUUGCUGGGGACAACUGAAGCUAAUGCAAACCACUUGCUGUACAAAAAAGAAUAUUUCAUGCAAAAAGCCAAAAGUGUCUCCUUUUUGUGACUUGAGGAGCCCUCAAAUCUCAAGCAAUUUUUAUUUCAACACAAAGCUCAUAUUCAGGCAUUAGCUGUCAUGUUUGACCAACAGAUACACUGCCCUGCAGCCCCUUCCCUGCCUGUCCUGCACUGACCCCCAGUGCCCCCGGCCAUGUCACAGGCUUCUCCCUGUCCCUUUUGCUGCCCGGCUCAGACACCCGGGGGGCUCAGAUGAGGUGGGUUUUGAAUAAGCCUUUUUCCCCUGCAAGCUGUGUGGGUUCUGCUCACGUCGGCACUGCUGUGCUCUGUCUGCCCGAGUUCAGCAGCAGGAGCUCAGGGGGAAACUGAAAGCAGGGCCGCAGCAGAAAACACUCCAGACAGACCAAAUGGGAAGAGCAGGCUUUUGCAGAACCUUCCGCAGGGAAACCCUCGGGAAAGCAGAGUUCACUAUGAGGUGAAGAGCCCUGAUGGAUGCAGGCAGAGCCCUGUGAAACAAGGGCUGAGGGGGCUCACAGAGUGUGCCACAGCACCAGUGCCCCUCGCACCCCACAGCUCUGCUUCACUGAGGGCACGGAUCACCAGGCAUAGCUUGGUUAAACGAUUUAAUGAAUUAAUUGCAGGUGAUCUGAGUGUAGCUGUGAUGGCUAAGUUUGUAGCUACCAACUCCUCGUCUGAGGCAAGGGGAAUGUGGGGAGGACCUGGUGAACAUCGGGGUAAGGAAAGCCAGCCGCUCAGACCCUGCCAGGCAAGCAGACUCGCUGGCUAGGAAGGUGCUAGAAGCACUCUGAGAGGCAAUCAGAACGGUUGGGGUGAGAGGGAGGAUGGAGGAGCAAGGCAGAGCUACUGGGAGCUGCACACGAGCAGUUUGUGUCGGGGAAAGGAAAGGAGCUCUGGCAGCUGAGGAGGGUCUGCCCUGCUGAUAUUUUUCUCUCUCGCCCCCCUCUUCCGUGCCCUUCAGGAAUGGCUGUGCCCUGCCUUCCCGCACCGAGCCCCGACUCUGUGCCUCCCUGCCCGGGCUCAGGGUGUCGCGGAGGGACGCGGGGCUGGAUGGAGCCGGUGCAGGCCUGAGGGCGCUGAGGCGGCCAUCGCUGCGGCUGCGCCGGGGACACGAGAAGCGAGGGAGCCCGAGCUGCGGAAAGCAUACUCUGGGACGUCAGAGAGGAAGGGAAACUUUCUCAAGGAAGAAGUUGCUUCAGUUUCUACCCUGUGUACCCUCAUGUGAAUGGCUAGGCAAGGGGUUAUCAGCUGGUCUGGCUUCCCCUUCAGCAUCCCCCCCAGCUGCUGAUACCAGGGGGAAGUGGGAGAGAAACAGGGACAGCUUUACCAAAACACUCCUGACUUCCCUUCCUCUUCAACAUGUCCCUCCCUGUCUCCGCCUGGGAAACAAAAAGGUGUGCAAAAAAACCCAUGCAAAUACCUCACCAGGAGUUGUGUAAAUCCUGUGGGAGGGAGACAGGGACACUCCAUGCUUUCAUAGUCAUAUUUAACAACCUCUUUUCCUGCCGUCUCAUAUAUUAAACGCGCAUCAGCUCUUCAAGCUUCACCUGUUUUUAGUGCAGAGGAGAAAAACAGAAGCACGUAUUUCCUAAAAAGCAUGCAAGCUUCAGGCAAGGUCCUGUUCUGAGGUGUUUGGAUUUCUGCACAACCUUAAUGUGGCAGAGAGGACUUGCAGCUGACAGCUGUGCCUCUUCAGAUCACACUGCCAACCUUUUGCUGAGCACAAGCUGUACUGAAAGGCAAGGUGAGUCUGCUGAAGUCUCAUCAAAGUCUGUGCCAUUGGGUAGAUCAUCAGUUGAAUAGAAUAUUUUUAUUGUGAAGCAUAGAACAGCUGCUGACUGGGACGAAGAGCAGCAGGAAGCAGUAAUGCAGCAGUGGUCAGCCUGGGGAGGACCAUACUGUUCAUUCUUGUGAGCUAUUGCAUAAAUUUGAGUCUGCACCACUUCUCUUAUGGGAUGAUGAAAAGAGAUUUGAUAAAAAUCUCCUGUCAUGUGAGAAAAAUACUUGAAUCCCUGGAAACUUAGGUAUGUAAUAAUGAAUUAAAGACUGAGAUCCAAAAGAGAAUAAAAUAAAACCACAGAAAUCAUAGAAACAGAACUUCUGCGGAAUAAACACUUGAAGAUACAAAAGGGAUUGACAAAUGGAUUUUGAAGAGUUAAAAAAAUUACGAAGAGAUGGAGAAGAUCAAUGGUUGUACAUAAGUUGAUGUUUUGAGAGCCUUUUUAGAAGAGAAAUAAGUGAGAGCCUGGAGACAUGAUUUCUGAAAGUUUUUCUUCUCCAAACACGUAAGAAAACAAGUCUCCCUGUGACUCACCUUCCGAAUCAAAAUGCAGAUGCCCUCAGGGGUUUAGAGAAGAAUUGUGGUAUUGUAGAGGUUUCGAAGCUUCACUAAAACUUAGUUAAACAAGUGACUAAUGGGAAGAAAAGCUGUUAGAGAUGCGUCAGCAGAAGUGAAAGGAACACCCAGCUAUAGCUGCAAAUACAAGAUGCUCAAGAUCCUCUGAUCCCUAUUUCAUCCUAUGAAAAUGUAAACUCUCUAAAAUUGUAAAAUCAUUUUGCCUAUAAUUGUUGAUUGAAUUUGGCAAAUUUAUUGCAUGUUCCAUUUUUAAAUGUGUAAUAAAUGCUUUUCAAUAUCUUCAAGUGAGGCUAUUGCAAGUUAGAGAGACCAUUGUUCACAGUUUCAGUACUGGAACAUUGAUGUGGCUUUGUUUUUGUACAUUUCUGUGUAAUUUUUCAUUUCUUAUUUUUCUGUGUACUUCACCUUUUACAUAGAGGAAUAUGGCUGAAGGCAGGUGCACCUUUUGUUAAUUUCAUAUUUUUCUUGUAAAGAAUCCUGAAUUCUGCUGAAGAACUGCUUUUAUUCUGUUUUAGUUUUUUUUUUUUCCUUAACUAUGAUAAAACACAGUAUGAAUGGUUUGCAAAAAAAAAAAAAAAAAAAAAAAAAAUUAAACAGAUGACUCCCUGUUGAAAUGAACUCACAAAUCCCAGCAGAUUCUUAAUCCUGAAUGUUGAUUUACUGAUAAACACUAAAACUGCUCCUGUAACAAAAAAUUGAAAAAUGCACCUUUAAAUAUCCUUGUGUUAUCUACAUUAUUCUAUCUGGAGAUGUUAACAAUGUCACAUGAUAUAUAUUAUAUCAGUUUCAUAUUUACAUUUGUUUAUGUGGAUGAUUCAUCUUUGCCUAAUUUACAUACCUAACACAUUUUCCUGUAUUAGCUUCCCCCCCCACCCCUCAAUAUGAAAAACUUUAACAAAUAAAGAUCAUAUGAAGUGUUUUGCAUUCUA